rnacentral:tRNA from 1 species
GGAGAGACCAGCCGACAGCUGGCGACGGCGACCGGCUUGAACCCGGUUGGGCAAGUGCCCUUGGGAGUUCGACCCUCCCUCUCUCCG